rnacentral:tRNA from 1 species
AUUUAUAUAGUUUAAACUAAAACACUACUUUUUCAUAGUAUAAAUAAAGUAAAUCUUUUAUAAAUA